rnacentral:rRNA from 1 species
AUCAUGGCUCAGGAUGAACGCUAGCGGCAGGCCUAAUACAUGCAAGUCGAACGCUCAGUAGCAAUACUGGGAGUGGCGCACGGGUGCGUAACGCGUACACAAUCUACCGUCUAAGCGGGGGACACCUCCUGGAAACGGGGAUUAAUACCGCAUAAUAUGCCGAAGUCGCAUGACUUUGGUAUUAAAGCAGCAAUGCACUUAGAGAUGAGUGUGCGUCCCAUUAGGUAGUUGGUGAGGUAACGGCUCACCAAGCCUAUGAUGGGUAGCCGGUCUGAGAGGAUGGUCGGCCACACGGGCACUGAGACACGGGCCCGACUCCUACGGGAGGCAGCAGUAAGGAAUAUUGGUCAAUGGUGGAAACACUGAACCAGCCAUGCCGCGUGGAGGAAUAAGGUCCUACGGAUUGUAAACUCCUUUUGACGAGGAAGAAAAUGUUAGAUUUAUCUAAUUUUGACGGUACUCGUAGAAUAAGCACCGGCUAACUCCGUG